GAGGGUAUAGCUCAGUGGUAGACUGCAUGCCUCGCAUGCACAAGGUCCUGGGUUCAAUCCCAGACCCUCU
rnacentral:tRNA from 1 species